rnacentral:snRNA from 1 species
GUGCUCGCUUCGGGCAGCACAUAUACUAAAAUUGGAUCGAUACGAGAAAGAUUAGCAUGGCCCCUGCGAAGGAUGACACGCAAUCCGGGUAGCGCUCAUAGUUUCC